rnacentral:tRNA from 1 species
GUUAUGGUGGCAGAGCACGGCAAUUGCGAAAGGUUUAAACCCUUUAAACAGAGGUUCAAAUCCUCUCCUUAACA